CAGUCGCCGCGGGAAUACGAAGGGUGCAAGCGUUACUCGGAAUUACUGGGCGUAAAGCGUGCGUAGGUGGUGGUUUAAGUCCGUUGUGAAAGCCCUGGGCUCAACCUGGGAAUUGCAGUGGAUACUGGGUCACUAGAGUGUGGUAGAGGAUAGUGGAAUUUCCGGUGUAGCAGUGAAAUGCGUAGAGAUCGGAAGGAACAUCUGUGGCGAAGGCGGCUAACUGGUCCAUAACUGACGCUGAGGUGCGAAAGCGUGGGGAGCAAACAGGAUUAGAUACCCCCGUAGUCCCUGUCUCUUAUAC
rnacentral:rRNA from 1 species